rnacentral:rRNA from 1 species
UACGUAGGGUGCAAGCGUUGUCCGGAAUUAUUGGGCGUAAAGAGCUCGUAGGCGGUUUGUCGCGUCUGCUGUGAAAACUCGGGGCUUAACCCCGGGCCUGCAGUGGGUACGGGCAGACUAGAGUGCGGUAGGGGAGACUGGAAUUCCUGGUGUAGCGGUGGAAUGCGCAGAUAUCAGGAGGAACACCGAUGGCGAAGGCAGAUCUCUGGGCCGUAACUGACGCUGAGGAGCGAAAGCGUGGGGAGCGAACAGG